CCCAAAGCUGCUAGCGAGGACACCAGCUCUAGGCAGGCCUCAAGGAGGCAUUUGAGGCUAGUGUGAGUGUGCAAGAGUGUGAGUUCAAGAGUGUGAGUUCAGACUGUUCAUGGGCCCAACCUGGUGAGGUGCUGAGCAUGUCUGAUGGCUGUAGUGAGCACUCAGCACCCACGGACACAAAGGGAAGAGCCCCUCCUUGGGGAAAGGACAUUACAUGUCACACUCGAUAAGUGGUAUAGCCCAUUUGAUCUGCUCCAGGGGGACACCUGAUGAGAUGGACCAAACAAGCGGAUAUAACAGAAAAGCUGGAAGGAUUAUAUUCCCCGUCUGGCAGCGUGGGAACUCAACUGACUGCUGGGAAUUGCUGGCUGCAGAUGUGCAAGGAACAAAGAGGGCGGUGAGUCUCUGAACAGUGACACACGAUGCCAAGCCACAAGGAAGACAUGCUGCAGUAGUGCUAACUUUUAUUGGACCAAUUGUAUAGUUGGGAGGGAUAUUUGACAAGCAUUCAGGCACAAAGCGCCUUUCUUCGGGACACUUUCCCAGACGUGGGAGGGCACCUUGUGCCCAAAGCUUAUCUAACGUUUCUCCCAACCAUACAGUUGGUCCAAUAAAAGCUAGCACCAAAACAAGCUUUGCUUGUGGUGUAUUUCCUGGAUCCUUACAGCUAUACCAUCACUCCAACCCUACUACACGCUCCAGGUGUGGCAGUGCAGAAGUCACAGAUUGUGCAUCUGCUGCAGCGCCCAGUAGUUUUGCAAACUGGCCUAGUGCCCUAAGACUCCUUUGACUUGAUGUCACCUUAAUCUGAGAUGCCUUGGCUGGAUGAUCCCCAAAUGAGAGCGGUAGGACACAAUGCGAUACAGUAUGACAUGUGUCCUUUUCAACACAUGUGGAACUGAGAGGUGGCAAAUUUUUGUGAUUGCCUCAAGAUCCUACAGAGCAAGAAGCAGAACCCAAGAAUCCUGAUCUCAACCCUGGGUAGCAAUCACUAGACAAUCUUGCCACCAUGAAUGGAGCAUACAGAAAAAGAAAGAAAAAGGUGAAUGUUAAGUGCAUUUUUCUUAGCUCUGUUUACUUCUCCAUGGGUCUCCACCUCUCAGACUUUCCAUAUGGAUGAUUGCCGGUGGAGAUGAAUACAUCUUCCAGCCAUUCCAGCCCUGAAUCAGCUUUGACUUCAACAGCUUUGCCUAUCUCUGUAUCCAUGUCUAAAUCUGAGCUAGAUUCUGCUGUCCUUAUUUACAAUGUAUAUAGCAUAUUACUUCAGGCUACUAAUUACAUAUAAGUAAGGCAGAAACCCAUAUACCAUCAGUGCAAAACUGAUAUUCUACAUCAAGCUAAUCCGGUAUGCAAAAAUAUUUUACACAAAAUUAGCCACCAUGGCAUAAAAUCUACUUGCCAAAGCUCUAACCAAGAGGAUACUUAAAAAAACUAGCAAUCUUUUGCUUGUCUAUCCCAAAAUAGCUAAAAAUUAGCCGCUUCCGGUGAGUGGAUUAGCAGACUUUUGCAAGGCUGAUUCAUCACAGACUGGGACUGCUACAAUGGAAUUUGGUAGCGGGAAAUGCCAUUGUUGCAAUCAUGACCCUUGUUGUAAUCAUUAGGCUUGAUAGGUGAUACAUUUCUUUCCAAACCCCUUUUUGCAGUGGUGCUAAUGCAUUUCCUCUCUCCAUGUUGAUCAAGGGGAUAUUUGAAGGAUGGGAGUACAGCCAGUUCCUUUGGUGCUCUCAGGGGAAGAAUGGAUUCACACCUGUCUGAGCACCCCCCCAGCAGCAGGUCAAGAAUGUUGCCAAGUUCAGGAGCACUAAUUAGAGGCAAUAAUAAGCUAAAUGAUCUUCUUUGGUAUUUGAAUGCUUGGCAAAACUUUUCUUAUUGCCAGAGGGAGAUCUCACUUCUGUAAAUGUCUCCAAUGGGAAGCUCAUUGUUUUGUAAACCUGGAAAUCAGGCUCAAUCCUAUAGCUGUUGAUUUCACUGAAAAAUAAGUCAGACCUACGGAUUUUGACCAAAUCCAGUGUUUUCUCUAAAGAGAUCACCCCAGAGGAAUAACACUGGGAGCGCAUAGGUAAACAAGCUCUUGGCAGCAAAAAGUCAUGUGGAUUAGACCGAGCAGGGUGACCUGACAUGGAGCCAAAUGCCAUGCUGACUUCCCUGUUGACUGUUGCAGAGAGAUACUAGCAGAAAAUGUAGCUCGCUGUGUUAUGAGCAGCUGCAUCCAUAGAGGAUCUCUCUAGCGUGGCUAAUGUUGCAACAGGGGGGAAUUUUUAGAGACCUUCCCCUGCAUAGACCAAAUGUAGUGAUCCUUACUAUGACAAUGGAAGAUCCUUAUCACGGGAUGCCAUUGAGCUUGGCUGGAUGUACCUUGACAAUCCAAAGGAAAUGCAAGAUAUCAUGAGCCAGACCACUUCAAAUCCUGUGCGUCACACCAGUUUCAGCAACAGAAAAUAAUUCCACUGAUAGAAAGACAAGAAGAAAUUCCCAAAGGCUGGACUUCCCUCUCGCCACAGAGAAAGACGUCCAACCAGGAAAGCAUCAACAGGAGACUUGUACAUACUUAAAGUCAUUAUGUGAUCAAAUAUUUCCCAGAGUCAGGUUCUUAUUCAGAAGUAAGACCUCAUAACUCCUCAAUGGAGUUACAUUGUGAAAGGGGAACUGGGCCCAGAGUGGUCCAAAAGACACAACUGCUCGCUGCUCCAGCAAGUGAAAUUGCUUUGCUUAUUUUUUAUUGCAAUAAAGGGUCUAUUCCCUCUUCC